CAGGCUUAACACAUGCAAGUCGAGGGGCAGCAUGGUCUUAGCUUGCUAAGGCCGAUGGCGACCGGCGCACGGGUGAGUAACACGUAUCCAACCUGCCGUCUACUCUUGGACAGCCUUCUGAAAGGAAGAUUAAUACAAGAUGGCAUCAUGAGUCCGCAUGUUCACAUGAUUAAAGGUAUUCCGGUAGACGAUGGGGAUGCGUUCCAUUAGAUAGUAGGCGGGGUAACGGCCCACCUAGUCUUCGAUGGAUAGGGGUUCUGAGAGGAAGGUCCCCCACAUUGGAACUGAGACACGGUCCAAACUCCUACGGGAGGCAGCAGUGAGGAAUAUUGGUCAAUGGGCGAGAGCCUGAACCAGCCAAGUAGCGUGAAGGAUGACUGCCCUAUGGGUUGUAAACUUCUUUUAUAAAGGAAUAAAGUCGGGUAUGGAUACCCGUUUGCAUGUACUUUAUGAAUAAGGAUCGGCUAACUCCGUGCCAGCAGCCGCGGUAAUACGGAGGAUCCGAGCGUUAUCCGGAUUUAUUGGGUUUAAAGGGAGCGUAGAUGGAUGUUUAAGUCAGUUGUGAAAGUUUGCGGCUCAACCGUAAAAUUGCAGUUGAUACUGGAUAUCUUGAGUGCAGUUGAGGCAGGCGGAAUUCGUGGUGUAGCGGUGAAAUGCUUAGAUAUCACGAAGAACUCCGAUUGCGAAGGCAGCCUGCUAAGCUGCAACUGACAUUGAGGCUCGAAAGUGUGGGUAUCAAACAGGAUUAGAUACCCUGGUAGUCCACACGGUAAACGAUGAAUACUCGCUGUUUGCGAUAUACUGCAAGCGGCCAAGCGAAAGCGUUAAGUAUUCCACCUGGGGAGUACGCCGGCAGCGGUGAAACUCAAAGGAAUUGACGGGGGCCCGCACAAGCGGAAGAACAUGUGGUUUAAUUCGAUGAUACGCGAGGAACCUUACCCGGGCUUAAAUUGCAGAUGAAUUACGGUGAAAGCCGUAAGCCGCAAGGCAUCUGUGAAGGUGCUGCAUGGUUGUCGUCAGCUCGUGCCGUGAGGUGUCGGCUUAAGUGCCAUAACGAGCGCAACCCUUGUUGUCAGUUACUAACAGGUUCCGCUGAGGACUCUGACAAGACUGCCAUCGUAAGAUGUGAGGAAGGUGGGGAUGACGUCAAAUCAGCACGGCCCUUACGUCCGGGGCUACACACGUGUUACAAUGGGGGGUACAGAGGGCCGCUACCACGCGAGUGGAUGCCAAUCCCCAAAACCUCUCUCAGUUCGGACUGGAGUCUGCAACCCGACUCCACGAAGCUGGAUUCGCUAGUAAUCGCGCAUCAGCCACGGCGCGGUGAAUACGUUCCCGGGCCUUGUACACACCGCCCGUCAAGCCAUGGGAGCCGGGGGUACCUGAAGUGCGUAACCGCGAGGAGCGCCCUAGGGUAAAACUGGUGACUGGGGC
rnacentral:rRNA from 1 species